rnacentral:rRNA from 2 species
AGAGUUUGAUCAUGGCUCAGGACGAACGCUGGCGGCGUGCCUAACACAUGCAAGUCGUACGCGGUGGCUUGCCACCGAGUGGCGAACGGGUGCGUAACACGUGAGGAACCCACCCCGACGUGGGGGAUAACACCGGGAAACCGGUGCUAAUACCGCAUGUGCUCCCCUGACCGCAUGGUCGAGGGAGCAAAGCCUUCGGGCGCGACGGGACGGCCUCGCGGCCUAUCAGCUUGUUGGUGGGGUAACGGCCCACCAAGGCGACACGGGUAGCUGGUCUGAGAGGACGAUCAGCCACACUGGGACUGAGACACGGCCCAGACUCCUACGGGAGGCAGCAGUGGGGAAUAUUGCGCAAUGGGCGAAAGCCUGACGCAGGAACGCCGCGUGGAGGACGAAGGCCUUCGGGUUGUAAACUCCUUUCAGCAGGGACGAAACUGACGGUACCUGCAGAAGAAGCCCCGGCUAACUACGUGCCAGCAACCGCGGUAAGACGUAGGGGGCGAGCGUUGUCCGGAUUUACUGGGCGUAAAGAGCUCGUAGGCGGCUUGGCAAGUCGGAUGUGAAAUCACCAGGCUCAACCUGGUGUCGCCAUCCGAUACUCCAUGGCUUGAGUCCGGUAGAGGAUCGUGGAAUUCCUGGUGUAGCGGUGAAAUGCGCAGAUAUCAGGAGGAACACCAAUGUCGAAGGCAGCGAUCUGGGCCGGUACUGACGCUGAGGAGCGAAAGCGUGGGGAGCGAACAGGAUUAGAUACCCUGGUAGUCCACGCCCUAAACGUUGGGCACUAGGUGUGGGGCCUCAUUCGACGGGCUCCGUGCCGACGCUAACGCAUUAAGUCCCCGCCUGGGGAGUACGGCCGCAAGGCUAAAACUCAAAGGAAUUGACGGGGGCCCGCACAAACGGCGGAGCAUCGGCUUAAUUCGAUGCAACGCGAAGAACCUCACCUGGGCUUGACAUGGAGGGAAAAGCCGCAGAGAUGCGGUGUCCUUCGGGUCCCUUGCACAGGUGGUGCAUGGCUGUCGUCAGCUCGAGUCGUGAGAUGUUGGGUAAGUCCCGCAACGAGCGCAACCCUUGCCCUAUGUUGCCACGGGUCAUGCCGGGGACUCGUAGGGGACUGCCGGAGUUAAUUCGGAGGAAGGUGGGGACGACGUCAAGUCAUCAUGCCCCUUACGUCCAGGGCUGCACGCAUGCUACAAUGGCCGGUACAAAGGGUCGCCAACCCGCGAGGGGGAGCCAAUCCCAAAAACCGGUCUCAGUUCGGAUCGCAGUCUGCAACUCGACUGCGUGAAGUCGGAGUCGCUAGUAAUCCCGGAUCAGCACGCCGGGGUGAAUACGUUCCCGGGCUAGUACACACCGCCCGUCACACCACGAAAGUCGGCAACACCCGAAGCGGUGGCCCAACCCGCAAGGGAGGGAGCCGUCGAAGGUGGGGUCGGCGAUUGGGGUGAAGUCGUAACAAGGUAGCCGU